rnacentral:rRNA from 1 species
GAUCCCUAGCUGGUCUGAGAGGAUGACCAGCCACACUGGAACUGAGACACGGUCCAGACUCCUACGGGAGGCAGCAGUGGGGAAUAUUGCACAAUGGGCGCAAGCCUGAUGCAGCCAUGCCGCGUGUGUGAAGAAGGCCUUCGGGUUGUAAAGCACUUUCAGCGGGGAGGAAGGCGUUAAGGUUAAUAACCUUGGCGAUUGACGUUACCCGCAGAAGAAGCACCGGCUAACUCCGUGCCAGCAGCCGCGGUAAUACGGAGGGUGCAAGCGUUAAUCGGAAUUACUGGGC